GAAGUGCUGCAGUGUUGACCUUCAAGGUUCAGAGAAAUCUGUUUAGGACACAGUGAAGUAGACAGCUGUAAUCCUGGCAACAGUGGAAUUGCUAGGGUUUCGUUGUGCUGGAGGGGUGGGCUGGGGAGAUGGUUUCAGGUCUUUAUAAUUUCAAAGGACAAGGAGCUGGGGGACUUUCUGUUUCAUGUCUGCUCCUUCCUGCUUCAGGAAUGCUUAUGGUCUUCCCAUCUUGACCAGUCUUUAGACUGGGCUCCUGGGCCUGCUUAUGGGCAAAUGCAGACAGUCGCCAAGUUCAAAGAAGACAACUUGUUCCUGUGAGCUUAUCUGAAGCCAGGCUGUAUGGAACUCAGAGUGCAUGUCCCAUGCAAACAAUGCCCUAAACAGUGCUGAGUGCCCAGCCGGCCCACUGAAUACGCCCUGGAAGUCCACCUAGUUCUAGGGACCCACCACCCUGUUCCCACGGGCAAACACUUCUCAUUUGGUGGGCAGUGUGGAGGUGGGCUAACCUGAGUCCAUCAGUGUUCCUUCAGCACACACUGAUGAGCAACUACUCUGUUCCUCAUUGGGGAAAAACACAGCGAGGUUGCCUCUACCUCAAUGGCCUCAGUCAAGUGCAAAACUCAGGACAGCUGCCGGAUACUUAUACCCGAGACCAAAAGUGGUCCCAUUAGUAAUGUGUGUUGGGCGCAAAGGGGAUUUCAAGGUGGGGAUGGGAUGAGGGGUGGUCACAGUCAAGUGGGGUAGAAGCAGGGAACUGAGGCGAGAGGGCGCAGCGGGACUUGGCAGAGGGCCGAAAGGCCAGGGUGGGGUCAGCAUUCCAGGCCAAGGAUCAGUACAAGGGAAGGCAGGACAGGCUUUUUCAUGAGGCUGUAGGAGGACAGGCCAAGGCAGGCAUGGGGCUGGAGAGGCCCUGAGAUGGGUGAGGGGGUCUUUGUCAGAAGUCAGGCAGCAGUGGGCCAGGGACAUGAACACCAAGAGCCUCACAGGACACCCCAUGUUCCUGAAGCCUGGAUGCCCCAAGGCAGGAAGAGGGGGAAUUCUACAGACAACUUCUUUUUACAACUUGCCCAGCUCCUCUCCCAGAUUUCUCCUCUUUCAUGGGCCCAGUGACUGUGGGGAGCGGGGGGCAGGGGGAGUCGGAAUUCAGAGCCAGCCAGCCAAGUUCUUGUGGGU
ensembl:lncRNA